UACGAAGGGGGCUAGCGUUGUUCGGAAUCACUGGGCGUAAAGGGCUCGUAGGCGGUUUGUCGCGUCGGGAGUGAAAACACCGGGCUUAGCUCGGUGCUUGCUUUCGAUACGGGCAGACUAGAGGUAUGCAGGGGAGAACGGAAUUCCUGGUGUAGCGGUGAAAUGCGCAGAUAUCAGGAGGAACACCGGUGGCGAAGGCGGUUCUCUGGGCAUUACCUGACGCUGAGGAGCGAAAGUGUGGGGAGCGAACAGG
rnacentral:rRNA from 1 species